rnacentral:rRNA from 1 species
GAUGAACGCUAGCGGUAGGCUUAACACAUGCAAGUCGAGGGGCAGCAUGGUCUUAGCUUGCUAAGACUGAUGGCGACCGGCGCACGGGUGCGUAACGCGUAUGCAACUUGCCUCACAGAGGGGGUUAACCCGUCGAAAGACGGACUAAUCCCGCGUACACUCCAUCUUGGGCAUCCGAGGUAUAGGAACUGAAAUUCGCUGUGAGAUCGGCAUGCGUCACAUUAGCUAGUUGGUGAGGUAACGCCUCACCAAGGCGACGAUGGGUAGGGGAACUGAGAGGCUGACACCCCAGAAUGGAGCCGAGACACGGACUACACCACGACGGGACGGAGGAGAGUGGAAGAGUAGGCACGGGGCGAGAGCCUGAACCAGCCGAGUCGCGUGAAGGAUGACUGGCUUAUGGAUGGUAAUCUUCUUUUAUACGGGAACAGCAAGAGUCACGCGUGACUCCCUGACGGUACCGUAUGAAUAAGCAUCGGCUAACUCCGUG